rnacentral:rRNA from 1 species
AGUGAACGCUGGCGGAAGGCCUAACACAUGCAAGUCGAACGGCAGCACAGUAAGAGCUUGCUCUUACGGGUGGCGAGUGGCGGACGGGUGAGGAAUACAUCGGAAUCUACUUUUUCGUGGGGGAUAACGUAGGGAAACUUACGCUAAUACCGCAUACGACCUACGGGUGAAAGCAGGGGAUCUUCGGACCUUGCGCGAUUGAAUGAGCCGAUGUCGGAUUAGCUAGUUGGCGGGGUAAAGGCCCACCAAGGCGACGAUCCGUAGCUGGUCUGAGAGGAUGAUCAGCCACACUGGAACUGAGACACGGUCCAGACUCCUACGGGAGGCAGCAGUGGGGAAUAUUGGACAAUGGGCGCAAGCCUGAUCCAGCCAUACCGCGUGGGUGAAGAAGGCCUUCGGGUUGUAAAGCCCUUUUGUUGGGAAAGAAAAGCAGCAGGUUAAUACCCCGCUGUUCUGACGGUACCCAAAGAAUAAGCACCGGCUAACUUCGU